UACGUAGGUGGCGAGCGUUGUCCGGAAUUAUUGGGCGUAAAGGGAGCGCAGGUGGGAAAGUAAGUCUGCUUUAAAAGUUCGGGGCUCAACCCCGUGAUGGAGUGGAAACUACUUUUCUUGAGUGCAGGAGAGGAAAGCGGAAUUCCUAGUGUAGCGGUGAAAUGCGUAGAUAUUAGGAGGAACACCAGUGGCGAAGGCGGCUUUCUGGACUGUAACUGACACUGAGGCUCGAAAGCCAGGGGAGCGAACGGG
rnacentral:rRNA from 1 species